UUACGUCCAUACCACAUUGAAACAACGGUUCACGUACGAUCACCGAAAUUAAGCAACGUCGAGCUUUGUCAGUACCUAUGUGGGUGAUCGCUUUAGAAUACCAGGUGCUAUA